rnacentral:rRNA from 1 species
UACAGAGGGUGCAAGCGUUGCUCGGAAUUAUUGGGCGUAAAGGGUAGGUAGGUGGUCUCAUUUGUCCGGGGUGAAAGCCUUGAGCUUAACUCAAGAAGUGCCCCGGAAACGGUGAGACUGGAGUCUUGGAGAGGGUCGUGGAAUUCCCGGUGUAGCGGUGAAAUGCGUAGAUAUCAGGAAGAACACCCGUGGCUAAGGCGGUUCUCUAGUACGGUACUGACGCUGAGACGCGAAAGCGUGGGGAGCGAACAGG